GACGUUGUUUAUAUUUUCACACUGCAUAUGAAAGAAAAGGGAAUAAGCCCGUCUGCCUUCACUGCCUUUACAACACAGGAGCAUGGAGGCCACACACAGCUCCCAGAUAUCCAGAGAUGAGAGUAAAUAAACCAGGGGAGCCAUCCCUGACACCAUGUGUGGCUACGUACAGUGCAGACUGAAUAAGGGUCGUUGGCCUAUUUGUAGUGGACGUGGCCUUGGGUGCAGCCAGCCAGUGGCAGUCUGAGGCCUCUUUGUAGGCCGCCGAACAUGCACCAAACCACAAAUUAUCAUUGGAGCAAGACAGGCCUCCUCCACCACAACCAGGCCCACCUCUACCUCCCCGAAAGCUUUGGAUUUAUGGCAUGUGUCCAAAUAAACAUGUCUGAACGUUGUGGCAGAGAGGAGCCGUGGUUGAGCAUGCAUCUGAGAGAA